ACCGUCAAGUUCGUUUGAGGGAUCCUCUAAAACGAAUUUGCACUGUCAAACCUGGACACGCGAUGGAAACCACCAAGCUGAAGUACGGUAGGGGCAGAGCGAAUCUUCGAUGGAGUAGUGAAAUGCUUUGAGAUCGGAAAGAACACCAACAACGAAAGCACUCUACUGGGCAGACACUGACAUCGAGAGAGACGAAAACUAGGGAAGCAAAUGUGAUUAGAGACCCUAGUAGUCCUAGCCGUAAACGAUGGAUACUAGUGUUGUGUGGCUCGACCCGUGCAGUGAUCG
rnacentral:ncRNA from 1 species